ACGGAAGGCAGCAGUGGGGAAUAUUGCACAAUGGGGGAAACCCUGAUGCAGCGACGCCGCGUGAGUGAAGAAGUAUUUCGGUAUGUAAAGCUCUAUCAGCAGGAAAGAAAAUGACGGUACCUGACUCAGAAGCCCCGGCUAACUACGUGCCAGCAGCCGCGGUAAUACGUAGGGGGCAAGCGUUAUCCGGAUUUACUGGGUGUAAAGGGAGCGUAGACGGCUUUGCAAGUCUGAAGUGAAAGCCCGGGGCUCAACCCCGGAACUGCUUUGGAAACUGUAGAGCUAGAGUGCAGGAGAGGUAAGUGGAAUUCCUAGUGUAGCGGUGAAAUGCGUAGAUAUUAGGAGGAACACCAGUGGCGAAGGCGGCUUACUGGACUGUAACUGACGUUGAGGCUCGAAGGCGUGGGGAGCAAACAGGAUUAGAUACCCUGGUA
rnacentral:rRNA from 1 species